AGAGUUUGAUCAUGGCUCAGAUUGAACGCUGGCGGCAGGCCUAACACAUGCAAGUCGAACGGUAACAGGAAGCAGCUUGCUGCUUUGCUGACGAGUGGCGGACGGGUGAGUAAUGUCUGGGAAACUGCCUGAUGGAGGGGGAUAACUACUGGAAACGGUGGCUAAUACCGCAUAACGUCGCAAGACCAAAGAGGGGGACCUUCGGGCCUCUUGCCAUCAGAUGUGCCCAGAUGGGAUUAGCUUGUUGGUGAGGUAACGGCUCACCAAGGCGACGAUCCCUAGCUGGUCUGAGAGGAUGACCAGCCACACUGGAACUGAGACACGGUCCAGACUCCUACGGGAGGCAGCAGUGGGGAAUAUUGCACAAUGGGCGCAAGCCUGAUGCAGCCAUGCCGCGUGUAUGAAGAAGGCCUUCGGGUUGUAAAGUACUUUCAGCGGGGAGGAAGGUGUUGUGGUUAAUAACCACAGCAAUUGACGUUACCCGCAGAAGAAGCACCGGCUAACUCCGUGCCAGCAGCCGCGGUAAUACGGAGGGUGCAAGCGUUAAUCGGAAUUACUGGGCGUAAAGCGCACGCAGGCGGUCUGUCAAGUCGGAUGUGAAAUCCCCGGGCUCAACCUGGGAACUGCAUUCGAAACUGGCAGGCUUGAGUCUUGUAGAGGGGGGUAGAAUUCCAGGUGUAGCGGUGAAAUGCGUAGAGAUCUGGAGGAAUACCGGUGGCGAAGGCGGCCCCCUGGACAAAGACUGACGCUCAGGUGCGAAAGCGUGGGGAGCAAACAGGAUUAGAUACCCUGGUAGUCCACGCCGUAAACGAUGUCUACUUGGAGGUUGUGCCCUUGAGGCGUGGCUUCCGGAGCUAACGCGUUAAGUAGACCGCCUGGGGAGUACGGCCGCAAGGUUAAAACUCAAAUGAAUUGACGGGGGCCCGCACAAGCGGUGGAGCAUGUGGUUUAAUUCGAUGCAACGCGAAGAACCUUACCUGGUCUUGACAUCCACGGAAGUUUUCAGAGAUGGAAUGGUGCCUUCGGGAACCGUGAGACAGGUGCUGCAUGGCUGUCGUCAGCUCGUGUUGUGAAAUGUUGGGUUAAGUCCCGCAACGAGCGCAACCCUUAUCCUUUGUUGCCAGCGAUCAGGUCGGGAACUCAAAGGAGACUGCCAGUGAUAAACUGGAGGAAGGUGGGGAUGACGUCAAGUCAUCAUGGCCCUUACGACCAGGGCUACACACGUGCUACAAUGGCGCAUACAAAGAGAAGCGACCUCGCGAGAGCAAGCGGACCUCAUAAAGUGCGUCGUAGUCCGGAUUGGAGUCUGCAACUCGACUCCAUGAAGUCGGAAUCGCUAGUAAUCGUGGAUCAGAAUGCCACGGUGAAUACGUUCCCGGGCCUUGUACACACCGCCCGUCACACCAUGGGAGUGGGUUGCAAAAGAAGUAGGUAGCUUAACCUUCGGGAGGGCGCUUACCACUUUGUGAUUCAUGACUGGGGUGAAGUCGUAACAAGGUAACCGUAGGGGAACCUGCGGUUG
rnacentral:rRNA from 1 species